rnacentral:lncRNA from 1 species
CUUCACAGCCCCUUUAUCAUCCUUUGAGUUCCAGAGGCCCUGAUUUCGUGAGGAAACACCAUUAUUGAGAGGAUUGGAGCUUGGAGAAGCAUUUGUUGGAGAAAGAUUGGGAGUUUAAAGGUGUGGAGCAAGGGGCUUUGCUUGGAUUCGAGUUUCCUUGCAGAUUUGGGGCGUUCUUUUGAGGUAAUAUCUCGUUCUUAGGCUGUUGUUAUCUUGUUUCUUCAUUUUGGGGUUUGAGGGAAGCUUAUCUUGGGUUAUAUUGGAGUCUAGAGGUUAGAUCUGAGGUUGCUACCUCAGAUCUGGAAUGGAGAAGAGUUGGGAUGCAGGAAAGUCCCUGUGUUGAGUGUUGGAUGAAGCUAUCUUGUCCCAAACCUUAGCCCUAAUGUGCAAAAUGCAUAGAUCUCUUUGGAUUCACGUAAAGUUUGCCACUUUACGUGAUGGAUGAGUUGUAGGAGGCUAGAUCUAUGUUUUGGAUCAAUUGCAUGGCCUGGAGUGUUUCUGAAGGGAUUCAGACCGGUGGUACUCGGUGAGUCACAUGAGUGGACUCGACGAGUUGCUUGAAGAUGAGCUGGGACUCGACGAGUCGGAAGAACAACUCGGCGAGUUGGAUGAAGAUGGAUUGGAACUCGGCGAGUUGUAUGAACAACUCGGCGAGUAGGUUGAAGGCAGCCUUAGACUCGGCGAGUCUAUUCUUGGACUCGGCGAGUCUUGUCGAAGAGUCCCAAUAUUUUCUAGUUGAGUCGAGAAUCGGAGAGUCAAGGGAUAACUCGGUGAGUUGUGUGCAAGAGGACUCAGAGUUGUGGGACUCGGUGAGUGUCGGGGUGACUCGGCGAGUUGAGUCAUGGAUUGAGUGAAGUUCUGAGUAUGGGAACUCGGCGAGUCAUAGGNUGUGUGCGAGAGGACUCAGAGUUGUGGGACUCGGCGAGUCUCGGGGUGACUCGGCGAGUUGAGUCAUGGAUUGAGUGAAGUUCUGAGUAUGGGAACUCGGCGAGUCAUAGGGUUGACUCGGCGAGUAGGGUCAGUCAGGGGUUGACUUUGACCUUGUCCUUGACCAAGAGUUGACCGUUGACUUAGAGUUUGGUCAGCGAUGUGGCCUUGGGCCAAGUGAGGGGUAAAAUGGUCUUUUACCCUUAAGAGGGUGCCAUGAGAGGGUUGAUUCUAGUCUCGAGAGUUUUAGUCAUGAGAGUAUUUGCCUUACGUGUUAGGCGGUGGCGAGUUCGAGAUUCAAGUGUGGAGAUAUCUGCUUUCUGCUUGUCAGGUGAGUCUUCUCACUAUACCUUACCUUGAGUGGUAGUUAUGUGUGACCGGAAGGUCUUAUGUGCUUACAUUGAGUAUCAUGUUAUCUUGUUGUAUGUGGUAUGCUAUGCAUUAUGUCUUUGUGAUUGAUGCUAUGCGGAAUUUCUUGACCGGACCGAAGGGUCCAACGAUUUAUGAGGCCGGAAGGCUUAAGCAGACCGGACCGGAGGGUCCAACGAGCUUAGGACCAGAGGAUCCAUAGAGUUAGGGCCGGAGGGUCCACAGAGUUAGGACCAGAGGGUCCACAGAGUUAUAGCCUCAAGUGGCUAAUAUGUGUUAUGUGUGGUAUUUAGGGGAACUCACUAAGCUUCGUGCUUAAAGUGUUUUGUGUUAUGUUGUUUUUCAGGUUUCUUUCAGUAUCACGGGACGGCACCGGCUUGAUUAUACACACCAGAGAAAGAGUCAUGUUUAGAAGGAUCCUGGUUUACUAUGCAAGUGAAAAAGGAGUUAUGUUUUGUAAUUCGUUUAUAAAUGAGAUUUGAAACAAGUGUUUCUAAGAAUUAAACGAUUAUUUUAAAUGAAAAAUUGUUUUGAAAUUUACGGUGUUACAAGUUGGUAUCAGAGCCUUGGUUUGAGGGAUUCGGAUGCGCCUUCGGGUAAAUCUGGAGUCAAGAUGAGGAAGUAAGAAAAGUUUUUAAAAGAAAUGAAUUUCUAAAAGUGAAUAAGAGUUCAAAGAGAAAACAAGAAAGAGUGGUGUGUACAAUCAGCUAGAGCCCGAAUGGUGAUUUCCCAAAAUACCCUUACUUUUGUGUUAUGAGAUAUUUAUGAUGCACUUUAUGAGAUAUUAUUGCAUGCUAGAGACAGGCUAGGUAUUUCAUAUCUUAGGACUAGAGUGGCCUGAUUUGUGAUGCCUUAGCCUAGGACUUGUUGUUAUAUGUGUUAUGCUUUUGAGUAUGUGAUGAGUGAGAGUAUCCAGUUAGAACCCAUGAGGGGUAGAGUUGCAGAGUCCGGUGGUACUUUCAAGGAUGAGUCGAUAAAGUGGAGUUAUCACCGCGAGUGAGUUCUAUGUAUUCUUCGAUGCUCGAAUGCUGCUUGCUUUGUGCUUUGUGGAACUCUCGAUGAUGGGAGUCAGCUACCAAGUGAAUUUGACGAUAUUUAGGAGGUAGAUGGCUGGCAUCAUUAGGAGCUUUUCAGCAGCUGAUAGCAAAGAAGUGGGAGGACCAAGGAAGAGCCUAGUGAGUAACCCUAGCCAAAUGAGUGCGCUGGUAGAGUAGAGAAUUUCACUGGGGAGCGAGCACGCACGAUGGGAUUGGUGAAAUAUCGGGUCGAGCAGCUACUUAGGAGCUCUGGGAUUGUCCGUGUGGAAAGUAUGGGUAGAUGUGGCAGGUAGUAUGGGCCCGUACUACUGAAAGCAGAGGACCCAUACUUGAUACAGGGAGCAUUCUGAAGGUCCUAAGGAGCGGAUUGAGGAGUGAUGUUAUGGUUCGAAUACCAUACAUCGGAGAGGAUGGGGGAGUGAUGUUAUGGUUCGAGUACCAUACGCCGGAGCAUAUUGAGAAGAGAUGUCAUGGAAUGAAUACCAUGGUUCGUAGGGAAUGAUGCUGGUGGUUCUCCGGCUAUCCGGUUAUGAUUGAGUUCGGAGAGGCGUCCCUUGGGAGGGAGAUCGAGAACCUCUCAGGGUAUUUUAGUAAGGAGUCGGUGAGAAGGGAGAAUUUCGAUCUGAGUUGAGCGAUUAGUCGAUAAAGGAGAUGUCACCUUCUAUGAUCUGGGUGGUAUUGAUUAUGUUUGUGUGCAAAAUAUGAGAAGUAUGAUGUUUGAGUUUUGGGUUUGGGGGUAAACCCUGCAGGUCGUCGUUGAUGAUGAUUUCCCACCAGAGUAUCAGGUAGCAUGUGUGCUGCGAGGCAGUGAUUUAUCAUGAGCAGACAGUCAGUUGGAACUGAGAUAGUUAAGGACCACACUACACCUAUUUGAGUAUAGUAGGAUGUAUUGUAGUGGUAUCAGUGGGGAGUUCAGUCGAGUUUAGCAGUGCAGAGAGUUUUCUAUCUAUGUUGGGUGUUGAAUAUGGGAGUGGGUCCCUGUUCUUGGGAUGAUCCCGGUGUUGGAGCGUUGGUUGAUGAGUUGAGGUGAGGGGUACGAUGAUUUUGUGGUUCAGUCUAUGAGCCAGGGAUGUUAUUGAGCAGUUGAGUUGCUUGGUGCUAGAUUGGUACGAGAUUUGGAACGACUAGAAGCAGUCGUGAUGAGAAAUUCUUGAGGAGUUCAUCAGAGGUUCAGAGUAUAUGAGGUCGAUUGAUUUCCUUAAGGGGGGGAUUAUCGGGCGUUGUAUAGCACUUUCCGGGGGCAGGUGUGAUUUCGCUGGUGAAAAAUAGUUGUGGGUUGGUUGUAUGCUAAUUGGUGAUGGUUCAAACCCUAAGUGGGGGAGAACCGGGUACAGUAUGUAAGAAAGCAGAGAUUUGUCAAGAGCAGUUAUAAGUGGAGUAUAGAGAUCUGCUGUAAGAAAUCAUGAGACCAGAGAUGUCGGUGAUCGAGGAAAGGGGUCAGAGUGAGUUAAUGCGGGAAGUACUUGUUGAGAAGGAUGAAUGUCUCCACGGCAGGUGUUUGGUGGUCAGUGUUGUUGCAAGUAGAUAGAGAAUGAUUGGGCAGCCAACUCCCGGGUCAGUAUGUGUAUCCUUGUUUGGAUUUUGAGCGGUGGAAAAAGGGUUCGGAGAAUUAUCAGCGUAUUUAGUAGCGUUAGCGUUUUCUUGUAUUCCAAUUGAGAAAUUGGAUACACCGAGGUUGCAAUUUGGAAAAAAAAAAUGCAGAUCUAAUUAUGGGGUUCAGAGGAAAUGUAUUAUUGUGUCUAUAUGAUGCUUGGGGCAGGAGAUCAGUGGUUGUGGCAGGAUCUUGUGAUGUUCUGUUGGGGUAUUCCGAGGUAUCCGGGUAUGAUAUCUUUAUUUUGAAGUUACUCGCGAAUCUUGAGUUGAGACGACUUGUGGCAUGUCAGGUAACUAUCGAUCUAGUGGGAGCCCUUCAAGUAUGGGCAUCCAGGUAGAUUAUUUAAGAGAGUGGAUCUUCGCAAGGGUGGGCAUUUGUUAUGUCGAUGGCCUCCAGAGUCUGUGAUGCAUAUUCGAGUCGAGUAUAGGUAGCUGCCUAUGAUAGUCUGCGGAGCAUGAGUUAGUGGAGUCAGAGGGUGUUGUGAUACUGCGGGGAGCCGUAGUACUCACUAGUCAGAGGGUGUUGUGAUACUGCGGGGAGCCGUAGUACUCACUAGUCAGAGGGUGUUGUGAUACUGCGGGGAGCCGUAGUACUCACUAGAUGGCAAGAGAAUGUGAUGAUGGAAUGUUCUCCGAUCAGUGUAUAAUGUGGAAGAGUUUUGGGCUUGAGUAGCCCUAGUAUUGAGUUUUUGGAGCCUGGGUGUUGAACCGGGGCGAGACUGGGGUCUCCGUCUCAGUCGGGAAAUGCGGUGAGAUGCGCAAGGGAUAUGCGCAAUAGAAACCAGAGAUUAGAGUUGAGACGAUCCUCGGUUGGAUUGUAUUUUUCCCGCAUGAGGAAAGGAGAAUUUUGUGACUUGCGUGUCACUGGGCAGGGAUAGUGGUCACGGGGAAAAAGUUAGUGAGAUAUUUGGAUCAUGUUAUGGGUGACCUUUGGAGGCUCAACUGCGGAGUCAAAAGCUGACCUGGUGCUCAGUCUCGAAGAGGGAUAUGAGAAAUGAGCUAGAGCUUAUCAUGAGGAUGUCUGAGGACACUUCAGAGCGAGUGAGCGAUUCAGAGACUCGAAGUCAUGCUUCGGGCAUGUGUAUUAGAUUUCGGAGGGAGUUGCGGCACGUAUUUAUCCUUGGUUGAGUUAUCCUAUAUCAACAGCCAUCAUUAGUGCAUUGGUAUGCCGCCCUUUGAGCUGUUGUAUGGGAGGAGGUAUCGGACCCUCAUUUACUGAGGAGAGGUAGCACAUGGACCCAAGAGUCCUUGCGAGCAGAUCCAGAGCAUGUGCGAUACAUGGAGUAGUGGCAAGGUUGUCAAGUGGUUUUCCCUGGGUAAGGGAAGAGAAAGGUAUGUAACCCCCGGGGGGGAAGGUUGGUUCACGGAAGUGAAGGUAGUAGUGAGAAUGGAUGAUUUGGAGUAUGGGGGUUGAACACUGUGUCUGUGACAGUGGUAUGGAAUGACAUCAUGAUGGGAUGUCUGCUGAGGACGCGGAAGGGAUUCCGCGGGUGUAGAGCCAGGAGGCUCGGAAGGGAUACAGGGAGAGAAUCCUGGACUCUCAGUGUGAUUCUGAUCAGGGUAUUGGGUAUGUAUCAGUGGUUCAUCCUGGGGGGAUGUUUGAGGAUAUCAUCAGUGUAUCGGGUUUUCCAACCUGAGGGUGUUGGAGCUAGUUCAGCAUGUGUAUGUGAUUGCAAGAGGAGAACUCGUGGGAGUUGCUCUGAGAUUGAGAAUGGGUCUUUCCGUCGUCACGGAAUGGGUAGAGUGGGAUUCGGAUCGGGGAUCCGAUGGUUCAUGGCUUUCUAGCCCUUAUGGGUCGAGCGAUUGUUGAGAUUUGGGGCAGUGAUGCUUCAUGGGUAAUUCUCGAUUGUUGAGUGUGAUUAUCAGAGGGUACAGCCGGUGCCCGGUUUGAGACGGUGGUCAGGACACCGCAAGGAAAGAGGAAGUGAGUUCGAGUUCGAUGGUUAUGCUUUGAGGAACCUGGUCCAGUUAGGGCCAGGUGGCGCGCCGUGGGAGUAUUUUGGAGUUGAGUUGCCAUAGGCUUCGAGGACGAAGCAUAAUUUAAGUGGGGGAGAAUUGUAACAUCCCGAAAUAUCAAGAGUAGAGUUGAAGGGCUAAAAGAGUAAGUUGUGAAAGAGUGACUCGGCGAGUCCAUGGAUGGACUCGGCGAGUAGAGUCGCGACUGGGUCGCGUGCUAAGUAGCCGACUCGGCGAGUCAGUGAGGAGGACUCGGCGAGUAGGCGCUGAUUGGAGAAAACCCUAAUUCUCGGGGUUGAGCCCUAUAUAAAGAACAUUAUGUUUUCCUCCCAGCCUCCUUAUCACCCCUUGAGCCCCAGAAAACCCUAAAUCGCGGAGAAGCACCAUUGUUGAGUGGAUUGGAGCUUGGAGAAGUAAUUGUUGAAGGAAUUUUGGGAGAUUGAAGGCUUGGAGCAAGGGGCUUUGCUUGGAUUCGAAUUACAUUGCAGUUGGGGCAUCUCUUGGAGGUAAUAUCUCGUUCUUGGGCUGUUAUUAUGUGUUUCUUCAUUUUGGGGUUUGUGGGAACUUGUCUAUGGAUGUAAUGGGAAGUCUAGAGGUUAGAUCUGAGGUUGCUACCUCAGAUCUGGAAUGGAGAAGAGUUGGGAUGCAGGAAAGUCCCUGUGUUGAGUGUUGGAUGAAGCUAUCUUGUCCCAAACCUUAGCCCUAAUGUGCAAAAUGCAUAGAUCUCUUUGGAUUCACGUAAAGUUUGCCACUUUACGUGAUGGAUGAGUUGUAGGAGGCUAGAUCUAUGUUUUGGAUCAAUUGCAUGGCCUGGAGUGUUUCUGAAGGG